rnacentral:rRNA from 1 species
GGGAUUACCUCAGUAACGGCGAGUGAAGCGGUAACAGCUCAAAUUUGAAAUCUGGCUCUUUUAGGGUCCGAGUUGUAAUUUGUAGAAGAUGCUUUGGGCAGCGCUCCGGUCUAAGUUCCUUGGAACAGGACGUCAUAGAGGGUGAGAAUCCCGUAUGUGACCGGUAGUAAUGUCCGUGUAAAGCUCUUUCAACGAGUCGAGUUGUUUGGGAAUGCAGCUCAAAAUGGGUGGUAUAUUUCAUCUAAAGCUAAAUAUUGGCCAGAGACCGAUAGCGCACAAGUAGAGUGAUCGAAAGAUGAAAAGCACUUUGGAAAGAGAGUUAAACAGUACGUGAAAUUGUUGAAAGGGAAGCGCUUGCAACCAGACUUGCGGGUCGUUGAUCAUCCGGGGUUCUCCCCGGUGCACUCGGCGGCUCUCAGGCCAGCAUCGGUUUGGGUGGUGGGAUAAAGGCCUUAGGAAUGUAGCUUCUCUCGGGGAGUGUUAUAGCCUAAGGUGCAAUGCUGCCUACCCGGACCGAGGACCGCGCUUCGGCUAGGAUGCUGGCGUAAUGGUUGUAAGCGGCCCGUCUUGAAACACGGACCAAGGAGUCUAACAUCUAUGCGAGUGUUUGGGUGUCAAACCCAUACGCGUAAUUAACGUGAACGGAGGUAAGAACCCUUAAGGGUGCAUUAUCGACCGAUCCUGAUGUCUUCGGAUGGAUUUGAGUAAGAGCAUAGCUGUUGGGACCCGAAAGAUGGUGAACUAUGCCUGAAUAGGGUGAAGCCAGAGGAAACUCUGGUGGAGGCUCGCAGCGGUUCUGACGUGCAAAUCGAUCGUCAAAUUUGGGUAUAGGGGCGAAAGACUAAUCGAACCAUUA